rnacentral:hammerhead_ribozyme from 1 species
ACGCGAAACCCGCUCCUGGCAACCGGGAGGCGGGUCGACCGGACGUGGUGGUCCGGUCCUGAUGAUGCAGCCAAGG